UAGGGAAUCUUCCACAAUGGACGCAAGUCUGAUGGAGCAACGCCGCGUGAGUGAAGAAGGUCUUCGGGUCGUAAAACUCUGUUGUUAGAGAAGAACACGAGUGAGAGUAACUGUUCAUUCGAUGACGGUAUCUAACCAGCAAGUCACGGCUAACUACGUGUCAG
rnacentral:rRNA from 1 species